rnacentral:tRNA from 1 species
GAAAGAAAGAAAGAAAGAUACAAGAACAAUACACAGUUUUUGAAACUGACUUUUUCCCUGAGGAUGAA